GAAAGCUUUUGUUUCGGGAGCAUUUUUCCUAGAGUUCUUGAGGAUAGGAAUGAAGAUGGCCGCCUCCGGCCCGGAGGAGCCGAGAGCUUGGGGUCCCGCUCCUCAGUGCGCCCUCAGAGAAAAGCACCCAACUGUCUCCGUCUCCCUGGCCUCUGGCUGCGCUUGGGAGAAAGCACUCAAUCACUCGCACUUGGAGAAAACUGACUGGUUGCUUCUGUGUCUGUGGCCUCCGGCCACACUCCGAGCUCACCCAUCCUGCAACUGGUUCAAGAUGGCAAAACUGUUAAGUAAUAAGAAAUUCACAUAGUUUGUAAGAGGCAGAGCCAAGAUCAUGAACAAAGAAUUCCUGAUUCCCUCAAGUCUUCACCAGCAGCAGCUUCCUGCCUUUGUUCUGAUGAGUUGAACAAACUUGUGGCUUUUCUGAAAAAAGACACCUCCAACUUCAACUGACUCAGUCCUAAUGAGAGCUCUGCAGCAAAAAGCUAAGAAGACCAUGCACAUGAGGUGAGUGACUCAUAUAAGAUGGGAAGCUGGCUAACUGGUUAGCCCUGAAUUUAACAAAGUUAACACCCAAGAGAAAGUUUCCAAACUUUGACUAAGCCAAAAAGAGGAAAUGCCAUAUGAGAACACAAUGAGAAGAGUCCAUCUACAAGCCAGGAAGAGAGGCCUCCCCAGAAACCAAUCCUAAGAGCAUCCUGAUCUUGGACUUUCAGCUUACAGGGCCAUAAGAAAAUAAACUUCUGGUUUAAACAACCCAGCCUGUGGUAUUUUGUUAUGGCAGACUGAACAGAAUCACUCCAUAGCCCUUUGUUUAAACCCCUCCUCUGUUUUAUGAAUUCUUAUUCACUAAGUCUCUGCAGGCAUGUUAUUGUUUAAGAAAGUAAAAGUGAAAGUACAAAAAAUUUUAAUUUAAAUAUUAGUUUCCAUUCAAAAUAUCUUUUUAAAAGAUUUUUAAAAAUUUAUUCAUUUGGGAGAGGGAACAGAGAGACAGAGAGCACAAGCAGGGGCAGAGGCAGUGGGAAAGGAACAUGCAGGCUCCUCACUUGGCUGAGAGCCCAACAUGGAGCUCUAUCCCAGACCUGGAGAUCACAACCUGAGCCAAAGUCAGAUGCUUAAACAUCUGAGCCACCCAGGCACCCCUCCACUCAACACAUCUUUUUCUGUUUAGCAAUUGCAUGAAUAAUCCUUUUCCCUUUCUUUGAAACUCUAUCAGUGUAUGGAUGAUUAUCCAAUUUUAUAAAUAUAAAAAAGUGUACUGGGGAAUCACAGGCAUAGAUACUGAGAAAUAAUGACCUGAAAGAAGGAAACAAUGACAGUGAUAAUGUCAGAAUAAACACUUUAAAAGAGAAUGGUUUUGAAUAACAAAUUGUAAAAGACCAUUGGGAAAAAUUGAUAAAGUUUCCAUAUAUCUUUGUAACAAUGACCCUUUAUGUUCUAUAAAAUGUCAAAUGUAAAAUAAAGGA